rnacentral:rRNA from 1 species
UGGGGAAUUUUGGACAAUGGGCGAAAGCCUGAUCCAGCAAUGCCGCGUGUGUGAAGAAGGCCUUCGGGUUGUAAAGCACUUUUGUCCGGAAAGAAAUCCUUGGCUCUAAUACAGUCGGGGGAUGACGGUACCGGAAGAAUAAGCACCGGCUAACUACGUGCCAGCAGCCGCGGUAAUACGUAGGGUGCAAGCGUUAAUCGGAAUUACUGGGCGUAAAGCGUGCGCAGGCGGUUUGCUAAGACCGAUGUGAAAUCCCCGGGCUCAACCUGGGAACUGCAUUGGUGACUGGCAGGCUAGAGUAUGGCAGAGGGGGGUAGAAUUCCACGUGUAGCAGUGAAAUGCGUAGAGAUGUGGAGGAAUACCGAUGGCGAAGGCAGCCCCCUGGGCCAAUACUGACGCUCAUGCACGAAAAGCGUGGGGGAGCAAAACAGGAUUAGAUACCCCUGGUAGUCCACGCCCUAAACGAUGUCAACUAGUUGUUGGGGAUUCAUUCCUUAGUAACGUAGCUAACGCGUGAAGUUGACCGCCUGGGGAGUACGGUCGCAAGAUUAAAACUUAAAGGAAUUGACGGGGUCAUAGCUGUUUCCU